CCUACGGGUGGCAGCAGUGGGGAAUAUUGCGCAAUGGGCGAAAGCCUGACGCAGCGACGCCGCGUGAGGGAUGAAGGUCUUCGGAUCGUAAACCUCUGUCAGCAGGGAAGAACGGUCACUGUGCUAAUCAGCAGUGAAUUGACGGUACCUGACCAAGAAGCCCCGGCUAACUACGUGCCAGCAGUCUCGGUAGUACGUAGGGGGCAAGCGUUAUCCGGAUUUACUGGGUGUAAAGGGAGCGUAGACGGUUAUGUAAGUCUGCAGUGAAAGCCCGGGGCCCAACCCCGGGACUGCUUUGGAAACUGUGUAACUGGAGGACAGGAGGGGCAGGCGGAAGUCCUGGUGUAGCGGUGAAAUGCGUAGAUAUCAGGAGGAACACCGGCGGCGAAGGCGGCCUGCUGGACUGAAACUGACGUUGAGGCUCGAAAGCGUGGGGAGCAAACAGGAUUAGAUACCCGAGUAGUC
rnacentral:rRNA from 1 species